AUAAGCAAGAUCGUCGUCCGUCCUUUGAUCUCACUUUUUUAUUUAAGGGCAAAAAAAUCCUUUGUGGUCCCACCCACUUUUUUAUUUAAGGGCAAAAAAAUGACAUUUUAUAUUUUAUAUUACCAACUCUUCUAAAAAGUAGAUAGAAAUACUUUAUUAUAUUUCUAUUUUUCUACUAUAUAGAAGCAUCGGUUUACCCAUGCUUCGUCGUCAGUCACUCUUAAAAAAAAAAAAAAAAGUGGACCCCACCCUCUCCAAACUCAUGAAAAAAAAAGUGGAUCCCA